rnacentral:misc_RNA from 1 species
AUUUGGAUACCUUUGACAGCAACAAUGGUUGAAGAAUCAGUGGAUGGUUUUGAUGCUGAAUUGGUUAAAGAAAUUGAGAAGCGUGAUUAUGAUAAUAAUGAUAAUAAUGAUAAACACUCAUCAUCUUCGUCUGAUUCUGAGAUUGAUAACUAUGCUAUACUGAAGUCUGCUCGCAAGAACCGCCUCUUCGGCCGCCAGAAGCCUCUCCAUUUGGUCCUAGGCGGUGGAAAAUGUAAUUUCUGUUGAUGGGUUUUUCUUUGUUUAAUUCCAAGUUGUUAGCUGUAGCUGUGACAACUGAUUGUUGUGUGUUUUCUGUUUCUGUUUCAGCUGCUGAUAUCAUUCUCUGGAGGAACAAGCAGGCCUCAACUGGUGUUUUUUCUGCAGCCACCGUCAUAUGGCUUCUCUUUGAGUGUGCAGGUUACCAUUUGCUUACUUUUCUUUGCCAUUCUCUCAUUUUCUCUCUGGCAACCCUCUUCCUGUGGUCCAAUUUAGCCUCCUUCGUCAAUAUGUAAGCAAUCUUUUCAUCAGCACAAUCUUUCUUCCGCCUUUCUGGAAAAAAUAUAGUUGUGAUUCUUUCUUGUUUAUGAGUCAGGUCGCCUCCAGAAUUCCCGAAGAUUACCGUGCCAGAACACCUUCUUGUGAAUUUUCUUCUUUGGGUCAGAGCUGAACUUAACAGGGCUUUUAUAACCUUACGGGACGUAGCUUCCGGCAAGGAUUUGAAGAAAUUUCUAUCGGUUUGACAACGUUUUCAUUACCUCCUAGGUCUUGCAGAGUUUGUUUUCUUCAAUUACUGAUAUGGAAUUUUGUUUCCUUCCAUUCUCAGGUGAUUGGAUUGUUGUGGGUUGUCUCUGUUGUUGGUGGUUGGUUCAGUUUUUUGACCCUCUUUUACUUGGGUCAGUUUUUAAUUGCUCUCUUGUAAUUCUUUUUCUUAGUCAUGCUCAAUCUGCCACAGGAUAGCUAUUAG